rnacentral:rRNA from 1 species
CUACGGGAUGCAGCAGUGGGGAAUAUUGGACAGUGGGGGAAACCCUGAUCCAGCAAUGCCGCGUGUGUGAAGAAGGCCUGCGGGUUGUAAAGCACUUUCGGUUGGGAGGACUGCUUCUAGCACUAAUAUUGUUGGAAGUUGACGUUACCUUCAGAAGAAGCACCGGCUAACUCCGUGCCAGCAGCCGCGGUAAUGCGGAGGGUGCAAGCGUUAAUCGGAAUUACUGGGCGUAAAGCGCGCGUAGGCGGCUAGAUCAGUCGGGUGUGAAAGCCCCGGGCUUAACCUGGGAACUGCAUCCGAUACUGUCUAGCUUGAGUACAGGAGAGGAGAGUGGAAUUCCACAUGUAGCGGUGAAAUGCGUAGAUAUGUGGAGGAACACCAAUGGCGAAGGCAGCUCUCUGGCCUGAUACUGACGCUGAGGUGCGAAAGCGUGGGGAGCAAACAGGAUUAGAUACCCGAGUAGUC